GACGAACCGUGCGAACGUUAUUCGGAAUCACUGGGCCUAAAGCGCGUGUAGGCGGCCCGGCACGUCUCUGGCUGAAAUCCCCCGGCUCAACCGGGGAAGGGGCCGGGAUACGACCGGGCUGGAGGGGGGUAGGGGGGACGGGAACUCCGGGUGGAGCGGUGAAAUGCGUUGAGAUCCGGAGGAACGCCCGCGGCGAAAGCGGCUUCCUGGUCCAGCACCGACGUUCAGGCACGAAAGCGUGGGGAGCAAACAGG
rnacentral:rRNA from 1 species